UGGGGAAUAUUGGGCAAUGGGCGAAAGCCUGACCCAGCAACGCCGCGUGAGUGAUGAAGGCCUUCGGGUUGUAAAACUCUUUGGUCAGGGUCGAAGAAAGUGACGGUACCUGUAGAACAAGCCACUGCUAACUACGUGCCAGCAGCCGCGGUAAUACGUAGGUGGCGAGCGUUAUCCGUAUUUACUGGGCGUAAAGGGCGUGUAGGCGGCUAGAUAAGUGUGAUGUUUAAAUCCAAGGCUUAACCUUGGGGUUCAAUACAAACUGUUUAGAUUGAGGGGUGGAGAGGAUAGUGGAAUUCCUAGUGUAGCGGUAAAAUGCGUAGAUAUUAGGAGGAACACAGGUGGCGAAGGCGGCAAUCUGGACAGUAACAGACGCUGAGGCGCGAAAGCGUGGGGAGCAAACAGG
rnacentral:rRNA from 1 species